rnacentral:snRNA from 1 species
AUACUCUGCUUUCUCUUCAAGAUGAACAAACCUUUUGCCUUUUACUAAAGAUUUCCGUGGAGAGAAACAGAUGUGAGUUGUUAACCAAAUUUUUUUAGGCCUUCCUUAGGUAAGGCUA